UGAUCCUGGCUCAAAUUGAACGCUGGCGGCAGGCCUAACACAUGCAAGUCGAGCGGUAAGAGAGCUUGCUCUCUACGAGCGGCGGACGGGUGAGUAAUGUCUGGGAAACUGCCUGAUGGAGGGGGAUAACUACUGGAAACGGUAGCUAAUACCGCAUAACGUCUUCGGACCAAAGUGGUUCGUCACGCCAUCAGAUGUGCCCAGAUGGGAUUAGCUAGUAGGUGGGGUAAUGGCUCACCUAGGCGACGAUCCCUAGCUGGUCUGAGAGGAUGACCAGCCACACUGGAACUGAGACACGGUCCAGACUCCUACGGGAGGCAGCAGUGGGGAAUAUUGCACAAUGGGCGCAAGCCUGAUGCAGCCAUGCCGCGUGUGUGAAGAAGGCCUUCGGGUUGUAAAGCACUUUCAGCGAGGAGGAAGGGUUCAGUGUAAUCACUGUUCUUGACGUUACUCGCAGAAGAAGCACCGGCUAACUCCGUGCCAGCAGCCGCGGUAAUACGGAGGGUGCAAGCGUUAAUCGGAAUUACUGGGCGUAAAGCGCACGCAGGCGGUUUGUUAAGUCAGAUGUGAAAUCCCCGCGCUUAACGUGNGAACUGCAUUUGANACUGGCAAGCUAGAGUCUUGUAGAGGGGGGUAGAA
rnacentral:rRNA from 1 species